AUUGAACGCUGGCGGCAUGCCUUACACAUGCAAGUCGAACGGCAGCACGGGUGCUUGCACCUGGUGGCGAGUGGCGAACGGGUGAGUAAUACAUCGGAACAUGUCCUGUAGUGGGGGAUAGCCCGGCGAAAGCCGGAUUAAUACCGCAUACGAUCUACGGAUGAAAGCGGGGGACCUUCGGGCCUCGCGCUAUAGGGUUGGCCGAUGGCUGAUUAGCUAGUUGGUGGGGUAAAGGCCUACCAAGGCGACGAUCAGUAGCUGGUCUGAGAGGACGACCAGCCACACUGGGACUGAGACACGGCCCAGACUCCUACGGGAGGCAGCAGUGGGGAAUUUUGGACAAUGGGCGAAAGCCUGAUCCAGCCAUGCCGCGUGUGUGAAGAAGGCCUUCGGGUUGUAAAGCACUUUUGUCCGGAAAGAAAUCCUUGGCCCUAAUACGGUCGGGGGAUGACGGUACCGGAAGAAUAAGCACCGGCUAACUACGUG
rnacentral:rRNA from 1 species